UACCCGCUGAACUUAAGCAUAUCAAUAAGCGGAGGAAAAGAAACCAACAGGGAUUGCCUCAGUAACGGCGAGUGAAGCGGCAACAGCUCAAAUUUGAAAUCUGACCCCUUCGGGGCCCGAGUUGUAAUUUGUAGAGGAUGCUUCGGGUGCGGCGCCGGUCUAAGUUCCUUGGAACAGGACGUCAUAGAGGGUGAGAAUCCCGUAUGCGACCGGCGGCCAACCCCGUGUGAAGCCCCUUCGACGAGUCGAGUUGUUUGGGAAUGCAGCUCAAAAUGGGUGGUAAAUUUCAUCUAAAGCUAAAUACCGGCCAGAGACCGAUAGCGCACAAGUAGAGUGAUCGAAAGAUGAAAAGCACUUUGGAAAGAGAGUCAAACAGUACGUGAAAUUGUUGAAAGGGAAGCGCUUGCAACCAGACCUGCCCGCGGGCGAUCAGCCGUUAUUCUUAGCGGUGCACUCGUCCGCGAUCAGGCCAGCAUCGGUUCGAGCGGCCGGAUAAAGGCCUCGGGAAUGUAGCUCCCCCCGGGGAGUCUUAUAGCCCGGGGUGCAAUGCGGCCAGCCCGGACCGAGGACCGCGCUUCGGCUAGGAUGCUGGCGUAAUGGUUGUAAGCGACCCGUCUUGAAACACGGACC
rnacentral:rRNA from 1 species